GACGAACGCUGGCGGCGUGCUUAACACAUGCAAGUCGAACGGAAAGGCCCUGCUUUUGUGGGGUGCUCGAGUGGCGAACGGGUGAGUAACACGUGAGUAACCUGCCCUUGACUUUGGGAUAACUUCAGGAAACUGGGGCUAAUACCGGAUAGGAGCUCCUGCUGCAUGGUGGGGGUUGGAAAGUUUCGGCGGUUGGGGUUGGACGCGCGGCUUAUCAGCUUGUUGGUGGGGUAGUGGCUUACCAAGGCUUUGACGGGUAGCCGGCCUGGGAGGGUGACCGGCCACAUUGGGACUGGGGUACGGCCCAGACUCCUACGGGAGGCAGCAGUGGGGAAUAUUGCACAAUGGGCGGAGGCCGGAUGGAGCAACGCCGCGUGCGGGAGGACGGCCUUCGGGUUGUAAACCGCUUUCGCCUGUGACGAAGCGUGAGUGACGGUAAUGGGGAAAGAAGCACCGGCUAACUACGU
rnacentral:rRNA from 1 species